rfam:Canis lupus familiaris chromosome 25, whole genome shotgun sequence.
GUCUAAGGCCAUACCACCCUGAACGCGCCCGAUCUCGUCUGAUCUCGGAAGCUAAGCAGGGUCGGGCCUGGUUAGUACUUGGAUGGGAAAUAACAAAAUGUGCAGCUAAAGAAA